rnacentral:lncRNA from 12 species
GUUUUUUUUGUCUGUCUUAUAAAUUUAACCAGAUACUCAGCAAACCACAAUGGACCAGAGUCACUUGUCAAAAGAGAGGAGGUUUUGCUUUAGGUUUCUUUGUUUGCUUACUUUUUUGUAUAAAAAAUAAAAUGGGCUAGAAUAGAAAUGAAUUCCUUAGGGGUAAACUAUUAUGGUUUGAUCCUGGUUCUGUGGAAAUCUACCACAUCCCAAGUAAAUAAAAUGUUUAAUUUGCCUUUGGUGGUUAUUUCCUAUUUGUCAUCUGUAGGGGUGCAGUCAAGGAAAGUGUCUUGGAAGUGCUCAGUAUUUCUCAACCCUGGAAAAGGAGCUGGCUCUUCUGGAAAAUCAGCAAUUCUCUGCAAGCAUUGGCUUCUUCAUUAGAUGAGGAAGUCAAGAAAUUCGUGUUUCACCAGCACCUAGGCUGCAUUUCUCCGAGGGGAUGGAUAUACUAACUGGGAGCCAUGUGCUUUACAACUUGAAGCAGAAUGGAUUCAUUUCCAACCUGGAUCCUGCUAUAGUUUCUGAUGGAGUCUUGUGCAUUGGGAGAGGCAAAGAUACCGAUAUUAUAUUGAUCUCAUUUCUCAUCUGCAAAGUGUGUGAGUGCUGUGUAUUGCAUCUCUGUGUGUGUUUCAGUUACGUUUUAGAGAUUUUCAUAGUUGGCAGAGGCGCCUCGCUAUGCUUCUUGCUUGUCUUAUUCUGCUCCCCAUGAAACUGAUCAGGUUGCCAAGUUCUUACUGACAUCAAAGCAGGCCCUGGGCUCAGAUCAUCUCUGUGGGAUGCAGAGGAAGAGGAGAAAUAGCUCUUGCCCAGAGAACACUUCUCUGACCAAAUUCUUAGUAAAUUCUGGAGCUUAUCUGAUCGUUUUUUCACUGGCCAGGCUCCUAGUGAGGUCAAAUAUUACAGCUGACGUCAAUCGGCUUGUGGCCAGGUACUGGCCUAUGCUGGGCAAAAUCUCAGGGCGACAGAUCCACGCCCUUGGAUCUUAAUUUUUAUAGUUCCGUUUUGCAUGAUGUUCUUUGAAAUAGCAAUAAAACAGUAAACAGAUUACA